CCUACGGGUGGCUGCAGUGGGGAAUAUUGGACAAUGGGGGGAACCCUGAUCCAGCCAUGCCGCGUGUGUGAAGAAGGCCCUCGGGUUGUAAAGCACUUUCAGUGAGGAAGAACGCCUGGUGGUUAAUACCCAUCAGGAAAGACAUCACUCACAGAAGAAGCACCGGCUAACUCCGUGCCAGCAGCCGCGGUAAUACGGAGGGUGCGAGCGUUAAUCGGAAUUACUGGGCGUAAAGCGCGCGUAGGUGGCUUGAUAAGCCAGUUGUGAAAGCCCCGGGCUCAACCUGGGAACGGCAUCCGGAACUGGCAAGCUAGAGUGCAGGAGAGGAAGGUAGAAUUCCCGGUGUAGCGGUGAAAUGCGUAGAGAUCGGGAGGAAUUCCAGUGGCGAAGGCGGCCUUCUGGACUGACACUGACACUGAGGUGCGAAAGCGUGGGUAGCAAACAGGAUUAGAUACCCUAGUAGUC
rnacentral:rRNA from 1 species